rnacentral:rRNA from 1 species
GACGAACGCUGGCGGCGUGCUUAACACAUGCAAGUCGAACGGAAAGGCCCUGCUUGCCGGGUGCUCGAGUGGCGAACGGGUGAGUAACACGUGGGUGAUCUGCCCCUUACUUUGGGAUAAGCCUGGGAAACUGGGUCUAAUACUGGAUAGGACCAUGCUGUAGGUGGUGUGGUGGAAAGAUUAGUUUCGGUAAGGGAUGAGCUCGCGGCCUAUCAGCUUGUUGGUGGGGUAAUGGCCUACCAAGGCGUCGACGGGUAGCCGGCCUGAGAGGGUGGACGGCCAGAUUGGGACUGCGACACGGCGCAGAAGUCGACGGGAGGCAGCAGUGGGGGAUAGUGCAAAAGGGGCGCAAGGCGUAUGCGGCGAAGGCGCGUGGGGGAUGACGGCCUUCGGGUUGUAAACUCCUUUCAGCCAUGACGAAGCCCUUGUGGUGACGGUAGUGGUAGAAGAAGCACCGGCUAACUACGUG